rnacentral:rRNA from 1 species
UACGUAGGGGGCGAGCGUUGUCCGGAUUUAUUGGGCGUAAAGCGCACGCAGGCGGUCUCGUCAGUUUGGAGUGACAGUGCUGGGCUCAACUCAGCAAGGUCUCCGAAUACUGCGAGACUUGAGGACCAGAGAGGGACAUAGAUUCCGGGUGGAGUGGUGAAAUGCGUAGAUAGCCGGAGGAAUACCAAAGGCGAAGGCAGUGUCCUGGCUGGUAACUGACGCUCAGGUGCGAAAGCUAGGGGAGCGAACAGGA